rnacentral:rRNA from 1 species
UAGGGAAUCUUCGGCAAUGGACGGAAGCCNGGACCGAGCAACCCCACGUGAGUGAAGAAGGUUUUCGGAUCGUAAAGCUCUGUUGUAAGAGAAGAACGAGUGUGAGAGUGGAAAGUUCACACUGUGACGGUAUCUUACCAGAAAGGGACGGCUAACUACGUGCCAGCAGCCGCGGGUAAUACGUAGGUCCCGAGCGUUGUCCGGAUUUAUUGGGCGUAAAGCGAGCGCAGGCGGGCUAGAUAAGUCUGAAGUUAAAGGCUGUGGCUUAACCAUAGUAGGCUUUGGAAACUGUUUAACUUGAGUGCAGGAGGGGAGAGUGGAAUUCCAUGUGUAGCGGUGAAAUGCGUAGAUAUAUGGAGGAACACCGGUGGCGAAAGCGGCUCUCUGGCUUGUAACUGACGCUGAGGCUCGAAAGCGUGGGGAGCAAACAGGAUUAGAUACCCUGGUAGUCCACGCUGUAAACGAUGAGUGCUAGGUGUUAGACCCUUUCCGGGGUUUAGUGCCGUAGCUAACGCAUUAAGCACUCCGCCUGGGGGAGUACGACCGCAAGNUUG